rnacentral:rRNA from 1 species
UACAGAGGUGGCAAGCGUUGUUCGGAAUUACUGGGCGUAAAGGGCGCGUAGGCGGUUCGUUAAGUCCUGUGUGAAAUCCCCCGGCUCAACCCGGGAACUGCGUCCGAUACUGGCAGGCUUGAAUCCGGGAGAGGGAUGCGGAAUUCCAGGUGUAGCGGUGAAAUGCGUAGAUAUCUGGAGGAACACCGGUGGCGAAGGCGGCAUCCUGGACCGGCAUUGACGCUGAGGCGCGAAAGCCAGGGGAGCAAACGGG